GGGACACGUGAAACCCUGUGGGAAGCAGGAGGGACCACCCUCCAAGGCUAAAUACUACCUAGUGACCGAUAGCGUAUAGUACCGUGAGGGAAAGGUGAAAAGAACCCCGGGAGGGGAGUGAAAUAGAACCUGAAACCCUGCACUUACAAGCUGUGGAAGCACAUUUCUUGUGUGACCGCGUACUUUUUGUAGAACGGGCCAACGAGUUACGUUAAGUAGCAAGGUUAAGCACUUAAGGUGCGGAGCCGUAGCGAAAGCGAGUUUUAACUGAGCGUUCAGUUACUUGACGUAGACCCGAAACCGGGCGACCUACCCAUGAGCAGGAUGAAGCGAAAGUAAAAUUUCGUGGAGGUCCGAACCCACGAGCGUUGAAAAGCUCGGGGAUGACUUGUGGGUAGCGGUGAAAUUCCAAUCGAGCCCGGAGAUAGCUGGUUCUCCCCGAAAUAGCUUUAGGGCUAGCCUCAAGGUGAGAGAUACGGAGGUAGAGCACUGAAUGUCCUAGGGGGUAUUGCACCUACCGAAGACUAUCAAACUCCGAAUGCCGUCAUCUUAUACUUGGGAGUCAGACUGUGGGUGAUAAGAUUCAUAGUCGAAAGGGCAACAGCCCAGAUCGUCAGCUAAGGUCCCUAAAUGUAAGUUAAGUGGUAAAGGAUGUGGGAUUGCACAGACAACCAGGAUGUUGGCUUAGAAGCAGCCACUCAUUCAAAGAGUGCGUAAUAGCUCACUGGUCGAGUGAUCCUGCGCCGAAGAUUUCCGGGGCUAAAACUUACUACCGAAGCUACGGCAUCAGUAAUGAUGGGUAGGGGAGCUUCCCAUACGGGUUGAAGCAUGACCGUAAGGACAUGUGGACAGUAUGGGAGUGAGAAUGUUGGCAUGAGUAGCGAGAUGUGGGUGAGAAUCCCACAGGCCGUAAACCCAAGGUUUCCAGGGGAAGGUUCGUCCGCCCUGGGUUAGUCGGGACCUAAGCUGAGGCCGAAAGGCGUAGGUGAUGGACAACAGGUUGAUAUUCCUGUACUACCGAUAACCGUUUGAGAGAAGGGAUGACACAGUAGGAUAAGCUAAGCACACUGUUGGUUAUGUGUGCCCAAGCAUUGAGGCAGUCAAAGUAGGCAAAUCCGCUUUGAUAAUGCUGGGAUGUGAUGGGGAGCGAAAUUUAGUAGCGAAGUAGCUGAUUUCACACUGUCAAGAAAAGUCUCUAUCGAGGUUAAAGGUACCCGUACCGCAAACCGACACAGGUGGGUGAGGAGAGUAUCCUAAGGCCAGCGAGAGAACUGUUGUUAAGGAACUCGGCAAAAUGACCCCGUAACUUAGGGAUAAGGGGUGCCACCAUCAGGUGGCCGCAGAGAAUAGGCCCAAGCGACUGUUUACCAAAAACAUAGGUUUCUGCUAAGUCGCAAGACGAUGUAUAGGAGCUGACGCCUGCCCGGUGCUGGAAGGUUAAGGGGAUCUGUUAGAGCAAUCGAAGCAGUGAACUUAAGCCCCAGUAAACGGCGGCCGUAACUAUAACGGUCCUAAGGUAGCGAAAUUCCUUGUCGGGUAAGUUCCGACCCGCACGAAAGGCGUAACGAUUUGGGCACUGUCUCAACAACAGACUCGGUGAAAUUGUAAUUCCGGUGAAGAUGCCGGAUACCUGCGACAGGACGGAAAGACCCCAUGGAGCUUUACUGUAGCUUGACAUUGGGUCUUGGUACUACAUGUACAGGAUAGGUGGGAGGCUUUGAAACCAGGACGCCAGUUUUGGCGGAGCCAUCCUUGGGAUACCACCCUUGUAGUACUGGGACUCUAACCAUAGGCCAUGAAUCUGGUCUUGGGACACUGUCAGGUGGGCAGUUUGACUGGGGCGGUCGCCUCCCAAAAGGUAACGG
rnacentral:rRNA from 1 species